UGAUUCCCUCUCUCUCUCUCCCCCCCCCCCUUCGGUUUCUCAGCAAUCUCAUCCUUAGAUCUGCUGAACCAACCAAUCUCACCACUCUGGUUUCUCCGUCGGCUGCUCCCAUACCGGAAACAAAGCUCUUCGUAAUAGUCUCACGCUCCAUACCCACUACUCUAGUCAUCAUUUCGUCUGUAGUGAAAGCCCCAAAUGGAUCGAAAACCGGCGACUCUGAUUAGCAAUCGGACUCGGAUUCAGAGUGGAUGCUAUCGCAAUCAGAAUCGGAAUCUUUGAGUUUGGGUAUUCUCUAGCGUCAUCGGGACUUCAUUGGCGUCGAUCUGGAUGUAAUCUAUGAGGAUUGAUUCUGGGUUUUUGCAAUUUUUAAUUUCCCAGAAUUGCAGAGAUGAGGGCUUGUCAUCAGAGGCCUUGAACGGUGCGAUCUGAUGAGGCUCCGAUUCCAUCCAUUCCGCCCCGAUCCGCGUACGUCAUCAUGUUUUUCUUCGACUGGUUCUACGGCGUGCUUGCUUCCCUCGGUCUGUGGCAGAAGGAGGCCAAGGUCUUGUUCCUCGGGCUCGAUAAUGCCGGCAAGACCUUGCUUCACAUGCUCAAAGAUGAGUUUGAAAGGUUCGAUUGAUUGGACAUCUUGAUCUCAACUUCUCAAGGGCUGUUCAUUAGUCUUCGAAAACACAAGAACCUACUCUCCAGCAACUAAGGUUGUUUAUGAAUACAAAUGGCUAUAGUCUCGCAGUGGAUAUAUGGAGCUUGGGAUGUACUAUUCUUCAAAUGGCGAGUUCAAAACCCCCAUGGAGCCAAUAUGAAGGGGAGCAACUCCAUGAAAAGGAGCAGGCCAUGCAUGCAGGAUUUGGAGAUGAAAUUACAAGAAAAAUAUAGAGAGCUGCAUCCUACCAAAUUAGAUAAUGAAGCAGUUAGUUAUAUGUUUAUGAAUUUUCUCUUGGUUGCUUUAGCUGAGCAAUUUCUAAGUUUUACCCACUUUCGUAAUUUAUAUAUAUAUGAGUUCAGAAGACAAAGGAAGUUGCAGAUGAAGUUUUGUUCAUGGCAAUCUUAUCAACUUUGAGUCACCAAUUAUGAUACUGUUGAACAUCUGUAGAAGAGUUCCUGCUACAACAUAUUUGAAUUCGACUAAACUACUAUACCUUUUCCUCAAUAUUUCCUAUCCAUGUGUACGUUUCCUGUUUUCCUCCACAAAUAAACUCCUACAACUUCCAACAAAAUCAACAUCUUGCACACACACCAGUCAAUGAUCAUUUCCCUGUUCAAUACCAAACAUUAGGUUAUGUUUUCAGUGUUAUGUUCUUUCUUGGAAAAUUUGAUCUACAAUUGUAGUAAACUAUAGUAAGCUCUAACAUGCCUAAAUCAAAGUCUGAAAGAAAUGACCCUUGCUUAGAUCUAGACCAUUAGCUAUCAUGGAAUCUUCGUGCUUUAUCUCAAUGAUAUGUAGCUAUAAAUCACAUUGCCCCUUUGUUCUCAACUGGAAUAAAAAAAAAAUUGCAAAUCUGCUUUGUGUUCUGGAACCAUUCCUUUACUCUUCUUUUCUGUCUGUUAGUUUUUAUUUUGUGAUGACUUACUACUGUUAUGACUUGCAGUGAACCAGUCACAGCCAACCCCAGAGCCAACCGUGGACAGCUCCGAAGAACUAAUGUAAAACUUUUGGUUAAGAUUACAAAUGUAAUAUAUUUUUCUUAAGACCAACUAUUUUUGUAACCAACAUAAAAAACACAAUGUUGGUUAGAAUAGCAAUUUUUCAAAAAAUGUAAAUAGAUAAGCUUGGUUAGCAUACCGGGUCUUGCUAAGAAUUUCAAUUUUUGGAAUAUGUAAAUAUACUGUUCAAUUCAAGAAAAAAAAGAACCUGCGGCAUCGCGCGGGGGAAUGAUCUAGUUGAA